UUGCACACAGGCGGUGGUGAGAGGUUGUGUGGUCUUUACUGGGACGUGUGCCCAAAGUCAGCAUGCCACUGCAUGAGCAGGGGAUGUGCCUAACACAGCAGUGGAUGCCUGCUGACGCAAAGGUGAAGACAUCAACAACCAGUGGCCCCCGUUGUUGAUCAGACUGAACUACAAGGACCGAGCAUGAUGAGCAGAGGGUCAGGUCCUUUAAAAGAAUGACUAGAGCAUCUGGCUAUCCACACUGAAGCAGUGUACACCCACCUGACAAGAAUCUGUCUCCAUAACAUAGAUGAUACUUGUGUUUACUUCAAGUACUUUGCAUCUUUAUGCUUCUGUUGAAUGGACAAGUGCUGGCACGUUCUUUUAAAUAUGG